rnacentral:rRNA from 1 species
CUACGGGUCGCUGCAGUGGGGAAUAUUGCACAAUGGGCGCAAGCCUGAUGCAGCCAUGCCGCGUGUAUGAAGAAGGCCUUCGGGUUGUAAAGUACUUUCAGCGGGGAGGAAGGGAGUAAAGUUAAUACCUUUGCUCAUUGACGUUACCCGCAGAAGAAGCACCGGCUAACUCCGUGCCAGCAGCCGCGGUAAUACGGAGGGUGCAAGCGUUAAUCGGAAUUACUGGGCGUAAAGCGCACGCAGGCGGUUUGUUAAGUCAGAUGUGAAAUCCCCGGGCUCAACCUGGGAACUGCAUCUGAUACUGGCAAGCUUGGGUCUCGUAGAGGGGGGUAGAAUUCCAGGUGUAGCGGUGAAAUGCGUAGAGAUCUGGAGGAAUACCGGUGGCGAAGGCGACCCCCUGGACGAAGACUGACGCUCAGGUGCGAAAGCGUGGGGAGCAAACAGGAUUAGAUACCCCCGUAGUC